GGCGGUUUGAACAAGCCAACAUCUCUCAGAGCAUUUGUACAAUUCGACAGUCAAUUCACAGAAAAAGUAAACGACAUUUUUGUGACAUUGAGAUGGAACCAACCUAACUUUACUGAUGAAAUAAUACAAGGGUACCAAGUGCAGUGAUCUUUCUUCGAGGAUUUUAAAGAAACCUGCGACGAUAAAAAUAUCACAACUACAAAAUUGGAGCACACGAUGCACAACCUAACAUCUAACAUGACAUAUUAUUUUCGAGUACGUGUGCAUACUAAAAUUGUUGCUGGUCCUUACACGGAUUUAAUCAAUGUGUCGACUACACAUGAAAAUUCAAUACCUAUAUUAUUACAUAUAACGUAUGAUGAUAUCAAAAUAUGGGACUUGGAUUUAAACAUUAUUAAUAUCGUAAAUUUUAAAAUACCAGUAGUAAGUCAUAUACUCCAUUCAUCAAGAGUAUAUGUCACUUAUUUGAUACAAGACCAUAGAAUUUAUUGGAUUGACAGAAAUGAUCUAAAGACAUGGAAGAUUAAUGAAAAUAAUAUCACAAAAAUAGCUAGCUUUGAUAAUAAUCUAGAGAAUCUCUGCAUUGACUGGGUAGCAAGAAAUCUAUAUUUCACCUAUAAUGAUUUCAUCUACUCUUAUAUUAUGAAGUUCGACUUAACAAUGUGGGAAAAUGGCAUAAUUAAAUUUGAUGAGAUUAUCAAAUCGCAAAAUGAUAUUCUCCAUUUAAGUGUAUCACCGUCUAUGGGGUACGUUUAGUACCGUUCA
rnacentral:misc_RNA from 1 species